rnacentral:lncRNA from 1 species
AAGCAACCUCUCGAUAAAAUGGUUUACAGCAAAAACAUCAUGAAAUGAAAAGUGUGGUCAAGAACAAGGAAAACAAAUUAUAGAUAAGAAAUAAAAUAAUUGUACAAUUCAACAGUUUCUCUUGAAAAACACAGAAAAGUUACUUCUGAAAAAUAUAUGCUUGUGUAUGUAUGCUUAUACAUAUUAUCAAUGAAAUGCAAAAAAUGAGAAACUGAGGGGGACAAGGGAAGUCUAACUACUAAAAACUAAUUAAGAACAUCAUUUCUUUUCAUGUGUUCACACUUUUUUUUUCUUCUUCUCGCUGAUAGUGGAUUGAACGAGCUCCAAGUGUUUCAUUAAUUUUUCCCGUUUGGUCAGUGGUUUUUGUUUGCUGGAAUCAGUGUUUGCCAAGUUUUCGAUGUACGAUUUUGCAACUAGCACAUCCUGAAAGCAUAAGAAAUAUUCUUGAGUUUUUCUAUCUGAGGAAAAAUUCAGUCCUAUUAAAAAAAAAAUAAUUUGCAUCAACCCGAAAAAAAGUUCUUACACUAGGUGCAUUGUUAAAGUCUCCGGAGAACUCUCCUGAGCUACCCGACGUGAACAACUGUUGUUGGACUUUGGAGGAAUUACCCGGCAACCAGUUACGUCAGUCUCAGAACAGCUCUACAACUUUCCCAUCUCUCGAGGAAUAACAAGUUCAGAAGCAAAAAAUAUCUUACAGCUCAUUACAUCUUCAAGGCCUGCACUCUUCUUCUUCUUCUUUUUCUUCUUCGGGGAUGCAGCCUCGACGACUUCAUUUUCUUCAUUCUCUUCUACAGCAACUGAUCCUUGCUUAUUCUUUUUCUUCUUCUUCUUGGCAGGGCUACUAGCUUCCUCCUGAAAUUGAAUGAAAGACAGUGAGUUUUAGAUGAAGCAAUCAUACUAGGAGAUAGCUUAAUAUCAAUUCUUGUAAUAUCGGAGCAGUUCUAGAAAAAAAAAAGAAGAAAAAAAAAAAAAUUUAAAACAAAAGUAAACUGCAUUUUUAAAAAUCCACCACAAGAUUGCUUUAAAUAUAAGCAGCACUUUUUCUCGUAUUCCUCCAGUUAAAAAUCCGGUAAUCUUAAAAGAAGAGUUUUUUUAAUCAAGAUUUUCCUUGUAGCUGAAUAUUAUGGUGUGACUUACAUAAGAAAGUUAAAUUCAUUUAAGUUUAACACAGAACUAAUAUGGCAGAAUGGUGGUGUUGUGGUCUUAGUUAUUGCCUACAGCAGAGACACAGAAUAGUAACUGAGCAAAAGUCAAACGGAUAAGGAAUGGAAUUGACUAGGACAAAUAAAGCAACAGUUAGAAGCUAAACGGGAGUUAUCAUUAUGUGGGCUUCAUAGAAUCGCUAAAUUUGAAGGAAUAAAAGUUAAUACUGUUUACUGCCUCUUUUAACAUGUUCUGUUUGAGCAAUAAACUCCUAAUAAGGACGAUUCUGGCCAGUCUGUUGAAAAUCGUUAAAAGAGGGGUUUUCUGUGAUAAUUUCCAAAAUGAACGGAUCAGAAUCUGUAACUAGGUUAUCUGCAAAUACUAAUUAUUAGAUACAUCUAUCUUCUUCAAUAGUAAACAGUGCCCGAUAGAGUCAGUGUUCAGUACCUUUGCAUAUCUUCCUUUUAAAAAUUUUCAUCAUUCCCAAAUCCACUACUUAGGUCAUGGAACUUAAAUAAACAAAAGACACCCACUAAGGCUUGAUGAUGGUUACUAUAAAAAUGGUCCUAAGUCCUGGAGGAUGGCUGAGUUUUCCAUCAAUUCGAGGCUCAAGGUGUAAAUGGGGUAGAAGAGGUCUCUCCGGCAGGCCUACCAUUUUACAAUUUUCAUAGUUCAUCAGCACUUUAGCUUAGGAGUGGAUUGUCCUUCUCAACUGGUAACAAAAAGGUGAUAUAAGGUAAAUAAAGUUAAGAAAGGUGAUGAAGGUAAUACACUUAUCUUACCCCAUUUGUCAUUUCUUCAUGGUCAUUUUGCAUAAAGUUAACACUUUCGUCUGUAAAGAAAAAUAAAAAAUAAACAUAAAAAUUAACGUCAAAAAUUUCUAGAGAUUUUGGAACAC